rnacentral:rRNA from 1 species
GAUGAACGCUAGCGGCAGGCUUAACACAUGCAAGUCGAGGGGUAGAAGGAGCUUGCUCCUUUGAGACCGGCGCACGGGUGCGUAACGCGUAUGCAAUCUACCUUUUGCAGAGGAUAGCCCAGAGAAAUUUGGAUUAAUACCUCAUAGUAUGUGAGGAUGGCAUCAUUUUCACAUUAAAGUCACAACGGCAAAAGAUGAGCAUGCGUCCCAUUAGCUAGUUGGUAAGGUAACGGCUUACCAAGGCUACGAUGGGUAGGGGUCCUGAGAGGGAGAUCCCCCCACACUGGUACUGAGACACGGACCAGACUCCUACGGGAGGCAGCAGUGAGGAAUAUUGGACAAUGGGCGCAAGCCUGAUCCAGCCAUGCCGCGUGCAGGAUGACGGUCCUAUGGAUUGUAAACUGCUUUUGUACAGGAAGAAACACUACUUCGUGAAGUAGCUUGACGGUACUGUAAGAAUAAGGAUUCGG